AUACGGAGGGUGCAAGCGUUGUUCGGAAUCACUGGGCGUAAAGGGCGCGUAGGCGGCCUGAUUAGUCAGAUGUGAAAGCCCACGGCUUAACCGUGGAAGUGCAUUUGAAACUGUCAGGCUUGAGUAUCAGAGGGGAAAGUGGAAUUCCCGGUGUAGAGGUGAAAUUCGUAGAUAUCGGGAGGAAUACCGGUGGCGAAGGCGACUUUCUGGCUGAAUACUGACGCUGAGGCGCGAAAGCGUGGGGAGCAAACAGGAUUAGAAACCCUAGUAGUCC
rnacentral:rRNA from 1 species